UAAUUUUCAAGUUAAUAAAAUCACACCUACUGAAAAAAAAAUGAAAUAAAAUUCCACUAUGGUCCCCAGGUCCCCCAGUCUGAAGUGCCUUGUUACUGCUGAUAAGGCCUACAUAGCUGGCAAUUUUUGCCUGAGAAAAGAAAACUGACAUUGCUUAUAUAGUUCACAAUGACACUGCUGGCGAUCUUUACUUUCAAAUGGAAUAACUGCUUUCUAGUUAAAGGGGCUUCUCAAAAGGUCUAAAGAUUUGCUGUCAUGAAAAUAUAUGUUUUGCCACUGUCUUUCUUACUCUCUCUCUCUCUCUUUAAAGCAAUAACAGGCUACAACUACCAGAAAGUUAUUCAAUUUUUCUUAAAAUAUUGGUAUGGAUAGGGGCGCCUGGGUGGCGCAGUCGGUUGGGCGUCCGACUUCAGCCAGGUCACGAUCUCGCGGUCCGUGGGUUCGAGCCCCGCGUCAGGCUCUGGGCUGAUGGCUCGGAGCCUGGAGCCUGUUUCCGAUUCUGUGUCUCCCUCUCUCUCUGCCCCUCCCCCGUUCAUGCUCUGUCUCUCUCUGUCCCAAAAAUAAAUAAACAUUGAAAAAAAAAAAAAAUUAAAAAAAAAAAAUAUUGGUAUGGAUAAUCAUAGUGUCUCUGUUUAAGGCUCUAAGAAACUAUAAAUUUGGGUCAGCUUUCCAAUCAGGUACUACAUCAUUUUUACUCUAGAAUAUACCAUCUCUCUGUUACCCCUAGAACCUCACCUAAGCUGUUUCCCCUCUCUAAAUACUCCUACAUUUGGACAAUUUCAAGUAGGCCUUCAGGAUGCAGAGUACAAGUCUCCUAAAAUGCCUCCACAAUAUUCACAAUUUAAUUUUGUCUCCCUACUAAGACCUACUUACUCUAUGUUAUAAAGUAGUAUGAAGUAGCUACAAUCCUGUAGUGUAAUACCCAUUUCAUUGCUGUCUUUUUCACAAACUAUAAACCUGAAAUGUCAGAAAGUGUCUUAUUUACUAUACACAUAAAUAGUCUAUUAAUAUUUGCUAGCUAGACAUAAUGAAAUAAAUCACAGAGAUGACUAACAAACACAGAGAACUGAAAAAUAAAUAGCAGUUGUUAAUUGCAUUUAAAAUAGCAUGGUUUGUUUUUUUUUUUUUUUAAUUUUUUUUUCAACGUUUAUUUAUUUUUGGGACAGAGAGAGACAGAGCAUGAACGGGGGAGGGGCAGAGAGAGAGGGAGACACAGAAUCGGAAACAGGCUCCAGGCUCUGAGCCAUCAGCCCAGAGCCUGACGCGGGGCUCGAACCCACGGACCGCGAGAUCGUGACCUGGCUGAAGUCGGACGCUUAACCGACUGCGCCACCCAGGCGCCCCAUUAAUUGCAUUUAAAUUCAUGUGAUUAUGGAGCGCCUGGGUGGCUCAGUCAGUUGAGCGACCAACUUCGGCUCAGGUCAUGAUCUCACAGUGGGCAAGUUUGAGCCCGCAUCAGGCUCUGUGCCGACAGCUCGGAAUCUGGAGCCNNCGGACGUGGGGCUCGAACUCCCGGACUGCGAGAUCGUGACCUGGCUGAAGUCGGACGCUUAACCGACUGCGCCACCCAGGCGCCCCAUUAAUUGCAUUUAAAUUCAUGUGAUUAUGGAGCGCCUGGGUGGCUCAGUCAGUUGAGCGACCAACUUCGGCUCAGGUCAUGAUCUCACAGUGGGCAAGUUUGAGCCCGCAUCAGGCUCUGUGCCGACAGCUCGGAAUCUGGAGCCUGCUUCAGAUUCUGUGUCUCCCUCUCUCUGACCCUCCCCCAUUUAUGCUCUUUCUCUGCCUCAAAAAUAAAUAAACAUUAAAAAAAUUUUUUUAACUCAUGUGAUUACAUACCUAGGCAACAAUACUUCCCUCUCUAGUGCCCAUGGCACAUGUCAUUUUAGAGACCUCUUAAUUUAUACUAUAGAAUAAUGUUAUUAUGCACAUGAACUCAAAAGGGAGAGCUCAAAAACAAGAGAGACGUAAUAGGUUGCAAGCCUAAGGCAAAAAAGUAUGAGCUGAAAAUCAGAGAUUUACAGAAGAGGAAACCUUAGUGUAUUUGUGUAUAUAAAUGCUUUCAAAAACAAUAGGGGUCUGGUGAACUUUUUCUUAAAUGGCCAGAAAUAAAUAUUUGUGGUGUAACGUCUCUGCCACAUAUUUUUUCUUUCUUUGUUUUUUAUAAUCCUAUAAAAAAUAUAAAAAUCAUUCUUAGCAUAUAGGUUAUAGGAAAAUAAGCUGCAGCCUUGAUUUGGCUCAAUGAUCAUAGUUUGCCUACUCCUGACAUAGUGGGUUAACAUUAUUAAUGUGAACACCUAAAUGAUUUGUUAUUCUUUGCCUCAAACAAGAAAAAUUGGCACAUAUAAGUAUUAUUGUUUUGCAUUUGAAAUUCCACAUUAGAAAGCAAUGGCCAAUUCUAUGUCAGAAUCAGUUUGAAAAUGCCACUUUGCAUAAUGUUGAUCUAGAAUUCAGACAGUCCCAUAAACCUGAGUCUUCACAUUCCAUGUUUAUAAAGGAAAAUAGUCAAGAUAGUUUAAACAGAACAAUGUUAAUCCAGUUACAGAUGUGUUGUGUUUGCAGAUGGCAGUCUGUAAGAAAUGAUCUGAUUAAUUAAUAAGGCCUGAAAUUUGAUAACAGUAGGAACCCACACACCAUAGAAUGUCAAAAAUAUCUAAAGAUGCAAAUUGUCUGCAGGAUGCCUUCCUGUAAGCCCAAGAAGCCUCACUGAACUAGAAGAAGCCUUCUCUGAAAGUCUCAUCACUAUUGCGAGUUAUGAAAGGUAUAAUAUCUCAUGUAUAAAUUUUGUGGGGUUUUUUGAAUUAGUUAUUCUCCACAAAAGAAAGUGAAUACUCUGAAAGGGACGUAAUGUGCCUUUCCUUCCUUCCCUCCUUCCUUCCUUCCUUCCUUUCUUUUUACAUGUAGAAUUAGUGUAUUAUUUUCCAAACAAUAUUAUGAUUAACAGAUUUUUUAAAAGUUAAUACAAUAUUAUUAUACUUUAUAAAUGCCAAAAGCAGUAAGCCUCUCUCUCCUCUUUGUGGCUGAGUGAAUUAUCCAUUUGCAUGUUCUUUGUAGCUGCAUCUUACAGGCUUAAGAACAUCAACUCACUAAAAUCACUUAAAUAAUUUACCUAUCAUCUAAAUACCUCCAGACAUAGCCAGUAGUUGUAUAUUUCAGGUACAGAAUAGGCAGUCUCCUGGAGAACUUUAGUUUUUCAAGAAACACUAUAAAAUGGUUCUAAAUUCCUUAAUUUUGAGGGCAGGAAAUGUCUAAGAAAAAACAAAAACCAAAAAACAGAACAAAACCAAAAAAACACACUGUUACAGAAUAAAAAAUUAAGUGGCUACACAGAAAUCAAUCUCUUUUUGUUGUCCUUUUAGAUUGCUAAAAUUGCUAAAGUGGUUAAGGUAGCAUAUAAUUUUUCUUUUUGAAGAAUUUUGUCCAGUCUGACAAGUAAAUAAAUGUUUAAACUCUCUUUCUCCUUUUAUCGCUGCAGAAACAAGAAGAAAUGGAAAAUAGCUGCAGCAUGUUUCCGACAUAUAAGUUUCUUUCUCUACAUGAAACACACAAUGAGAACACUUUAUAGAUGAAUUGUGCCUACGAUUGAAUAGAGAACAGUGCAAUUGCUUCAGUUUUGUGGAAUUGGAUAAUUUGUCACAGUUUCUGCCCUUGGAAAAAAUGACAACCCCAAGAAAAACUAGUGGAAAGGCUUUCUUAAAUA
rnacentral:lncRNA from 1 species